rnacentral:rRNA from 1 species
UACGGGGGGUGCGAGCGUUAUCCGGAAUUAUUGGGCGUAAAGCGUCUGUAGGUGGUUAAUUAAGUCGGGUGUUAAAUGUUUUGGCUUAACCAAAAACCUGUGCCCGAAACUGAUUUACUAGAGUCCUUGAGAGGUAUGUGGAAUUCUGCAUGUAGGGGUAAAAUCCGUAGAUAUGCAGAGGAACGCCAAAAGUGAAGACAACAUACUGGUAAGGUACUGACACUGAGAGACGAAAGCGUGGGUAGCAAACAGG